UUUUUUUUUUUUUUUUUUUUUUUUUGGAGAAGAUUCUCACAGACGGUUGGGGUUAAACAAGUGGAACCAGCAGAUGAUGAUGAUAACUGGCUGCCUCGUGCUAUCAAGACAUAUCAAAGUUUCCAAAGACUUAUUACCGAAGAUGUCAGCAGGCGUUCGUGCCGAGGGGGGUGGGGGGAGGGGAGAGGUGAGGAGGGCAAACAAGGUUUUGUGUUCAUGGCUCAGUCUUGACUUCCUUCAUUAUGAGUCACCGGCCAGCGAGAUAAAACAAUGUCACAAGUGCUAGGGAACAUUCGAACCAAGGGUAAAACCGGGCAACUUCUGUGACACUGGAGCUGAGAGGUAGAGCUGGAAGCGCCGGCUCAAGCGCCAAGUGACAACCAUUCCGGGUUCACACAAUUGGGGUUAGGAAAGGAACGUUGCUGCAUUUCAGUCUUAACCACAUGGACCACACUUUCCCUAUUUAAAAAAGAGGCCUCGAAGCCUUUAGAAUCCUCCAACCUCUCAGGGCAGCCACUGUGGGGGAGCUGGAGGCCAGGGAGGGGUGGGAAAUGACCACAUUUCUAGAAAAAAGUUAGUUUAAGGGCCCUGCAGUUAAAUAGCGACCUUUGUAAGCAGAAAAUACAGCAUUUGCAGGACACCGAGAGCUACCAGUCCACAAACACCCUGCUUCUUUCUGGACCAGAGCUUUACCAGCUUAUAUAAGCAGUUUCCACCUAACCGGUGACAAAGAAUGGGUGUCCUGUAUAUUCUGGGCAUGGGCAUCCCCAGGACAGUUAAGCAGCCAAUUAGCAUUCCUUUCAGUCUAAGGGGACAGACUUCCUAUUGUACCCACACAAAAGGUUCUGGUUCAUUGGGGGCAAUUUCACCUCCGACAGCAAAGAACCCCUAUGGGCAGGAAGGUGGGGAUUCCAAAGAAACAAGAAGGGAGGACUUCAGAACUUAUAUCAGGGGGGUGGCUACGGCCCCACUGCUUUUGCCGGUCUCAUCAUCUAAAUAGUUCUGGGCUAAAAGCUGCAUCCCCGAGCAGCUCUGCUCAGGAGCACAGAAAGGCCUCUAGGUGAAGCUGCCUCCCGGGGAUCCAGGACCCUCACAACUCUCUCCCUUACCCAGCGCACCCAGUCCUAGCCGAGCAUCCACACAGAACUUGCCCAGCCACCACAGCAUUAGGCCCCCAAUUUCCAAACAGCACGUGGAGAUUCUGAGCGCUGUUUUACAGGUAUGGAAAUUCAAAACGCUUAACUGGCUCAAGGAACAGAGGUAACACAUCAUGGCCCCGGCACCUCAGCAUGGGGCUCCUGCGCACCCCAAAACCAGAGAUCUUCAAGCCAGCAGUGGCAGCAGUGGCAAGAUGGGAUGGGGGUCCAGAGGCUCUCUUCAACCCCAUGAUAGGCCCAGUUAUGCCUCUAGUCCCCAAAGUAUCCCAUUCUGUGGCUCUUUCUGCAGAAUGACCCCUCUUUGGUCCUCCCUCCUCAAUCUGACAGACCCUACUGUCCAACACUCACCCAAUGCAGCAUCACUCAGCACCAAAGGCCUAGUACCACCGAGUACCUUACAUGUGUUUCUGGCUUCCCUUUCCAAAUAAGACAGGAGCUCCUUUCAAUGAGAACCCUCUGUAUAGCAUAAGGAACUAUACUCAAUAUUUUGGAAUAUAUAUGCAGUUGAACUAUAUUCAAUAUUUUGGAACAUAUAUUUGCAUAUAUAUACAACUGAAUCACUGUGCUGUAUUCCUGAAACAAACAUGACAUAGUAAAUCGACUCUACCUCAAUUAAAAAAAAAAAAAGAAGGAGUUCCCGUCGUGGCGCAGUGGUUAACGAAUCCGACUAGGAACCAUGAGGUCGCGGGUUCGGUCCCUGCCCUUGCUCAGUGGGUUAACGAUCCGGCGUUGCCGUGAGCUAUGGUGUAGGUUGCAGACAUGUGAAUACAUAAUGAAUGCAUGAACAUUCUAAAAAGGUAUGGCAUAUACACACAAUUAAGACUGCACUGAAAAUUAGCUACCUAGUUAUUCACACAGAGGUGUGCACAGAUCCAUGAUGUGAUCAUGCAAAAAGUACCACUCUGGGCUGACAUGACUCACAACGACUGUUCAUCAAUGCAAAGCCCAGAAGCAUCCCAAAGCAGGUCAUCAGCUGGCAUCGAAGAAAAAAUUGUACACGAGACCCUCAUCUCUUUCUGCAGUGGUGCAGGGACCGGGGCACAGCGUUCGGUCUAGCCAGGAAUGACCCACUGACCAAAUGGACAACAGUGGGGAAAUGAGGGGUUUUCCAAACCCAGGAGCAAACUGCUGGGUGUGCUGCACACCGAGCUCCCUCCUGCACACGGACUCGCAGGCUUGUGUUCAUGAUCAGCGUGGUGGGCCACCUGGCGAACAGCAGGGGUCCUUCUACCAGCAUCACAAGGCUCACUGAUUUUCAAAUGUCUUAAGACAUCAGCAGCCUCUACAGUCACUCAGCCCUCCAGACUCCCCAAUUCCAGCCUCCUAUUCCAAAACAAGGCAGUUGUUAACCCUCUGCCCAUCAAGAAAUCUGAGAUUUAAGGGUGAGAGGGCUGCAUAACAUGGCACAUCAUGUGGGAACCGCUUAUCUAGGACACGCUGAACAGAAAAAGCACUUAGUACACUUAAGAUUGACACUUGGGGGGAAGCAAAGGUGGGGGGCAGCAUUAACAGGUGAAAAAUAGAGUGUCACCAUUCCUGAAGGAAAUUCUUUUCAACCUGUUGGUGAUUUGUCCUCAAAAGUUCUGCAGAAAGACCUAGUUUAUUGCCAACCCAGCCCCUGGGUCAAGCGUUUCUAGUAUAAUUCCACCCAAACCAUGCAGGCUCAGUAAAUGUUCACAGGUGGUGAUGAAUUUCUACUUCUGGCCAAGUGCACAGGGGAAAAAAAAAAAAAACCUAGCUGUUAAACAUUUGAAUACUGAUAGUCCUGAAACAAUAGGGGGAAAAAAGACAAGUGGAAGAAUGCACACACAAAAAAAUGGAAAUUACAAAUUGAACAGUUCAGGGUAGCAGGUAAGAGAACAGUGGACAACAACUACCUGGUCCAGGACUGGGUUCAUCCUUGCCCAGCUAUGUGGCUUUGAACAAGUUACUCAACCUCUCUGUGCCAUGGUUGCUUCAAGCCAUCCUGUGGGUUAAAAUUCAUGGUGCAGGAGACCGGGAAAUGUAAGCGACAUUUCCUAGCAUCAAGAAUGGAUUCUUCAAGCACUGUGACCUCCCCACCUCCACCUCCUCUCAGCCCCAUGUCAAGUGCAUCUGUUUUAAUCAGGGUUGCAGUGGCUUUUCUGGGGCUCUUGACCCCAAGCCUAACUGCCAGAGGGUACAAAUAGCUGCUGGGAAACCAUCAGAAAUAAGAGCCAUGAACCAGAAAAGAAGUUUAAUAAGGCCCAGGAGUCAAGUGGGUGUGCAGGAGGUGGCCUCAAGGUAUCAGAUUUUCUGGAUAAUGAAAGACCAGUUUAGAGGCUCUCCAACCCAACAACCUCUGACACUGCAGCGCUCUGUUAGAAAGUUCUGCCAUGGGCAGGGCUGAAUGCAGUCCGUUCCUCAGUGGUUUCUGCCUCCCAGCCCUAGCGUGACCUUCAGGGACCUUGCAGGGCUCCAGGCCCUCACUCCCAGGUCUUUCCUCGGAGGAGCACUCUCCUCUGGGGACUUCUGUGUUCAGCUGACAUCCCCCUGAGAUCAGGGCCUGAGAUCUGGACCCCAGGAUCUCCUUGCCCCACAUCCCCCCUUGAGACUUCAGCCAAUACAUCCAUCCUGGUGAGAAUCCCAGGGGAAAGGCUCAGACCGGUAACAGCACACGACAAAGGAUUUCUCAGCCUGAGUAACACGGCCGUCCCCGAACGUUACACAGACAACACGGCGUAACAGAGAAGGUGCUUUGAACAGAACAGGUGCACAAUAUUUAUUUAUUGUGCAGAUGAAUGCCCCAUUGAAGUCAAGGCAAGCGCCCUCCUCCCCGCUUUACUCAUGGUCAAUCUGGGCCACUUCCGGAAGAAACUUCCCGCUGCCGGAAUUCAGAGACACAGACGAGAGCCACCAACUAAUGGGCCUGGGCCGGAGGUCAAAAACAGGCAGCGGCCCACAGAUGUUGUGCUUGGCCUACACAGUGUUUUUUAAAUUUUUCAAUUCAUUGCCAACUUUUUAAAAGCUGGGGAUUUCAUAUGUAAAUCUAGAUUGGGGGCUUCUCUUGAAAAAAGAAUCAGAAGAGCUGGCAACCGUGGCUGGUGCUGGGUCACCGAUGUCCCUUUGGACGGGGACGAGUCCUCCAGUCCGCUCUGUCUUUACACCAGCCCCCAUCUUCCAGCCCUCUGCCUGUCCCCGAGGGCUUCUGAAGUUGUCCCUCUGGCCUGGGCUCAGCGGGGGAGCAUCAGUCCGUAUAAAGCAAAACAGAACCUGAGGGCCCAGGGACUGGUCUUUGCAGAGCAACCGCACAACUGCUUCAUCCCUCAUGUCCUAGUGUCAUUAUUAGCGGCAUCCCCUUUCACGCUCAGAGUCCCGGUUUGGGUAACAAAUUGUACAACCACCCAGAGCCCCUGCCAGCUCUAGACCUGCCUGGCCAACCCCAAGGAUUCUGUAGGCAAAGCCCUCAGAAGCAAGACCACCUGCUCUCUACAAAGCUUCCCAAGCUGACGAUGUCAGAAGUCCAGUGGGGUUCUCUUCCCAAAGGCCUUUCAAACACCCUGCGGAGCUGAUGGCAGUGGCCAGCCCCAGAGGGCCUGCAGUCCUGAGUGACAGGGAAGGCUGGGGGGGAUGGCUGGGCCUACACUUGGAAUAGGCAGAGGUCGAGAGAACAGAGAAGAAAGAGAAAAAGGAAUCUAAUUACCAAUCCCACCUCCAGGUACCAUUUCCCUUGCCUGAGGUCAAAGGGUCAACUAAGGCCACCCUAUCCUUCACCCCCACUUUCGGUGGGCAUAGGGAAGGGAAAAUGGCAGCUUUCAUAGUGAGACAAGUCAUCAGAUUGCACUUACUAUCUCUUCCAGAAUCUUCUACCCUCUUGAGUCAAACGCAUUAACUUGUCAGAGCCGGGAACACAGCUUCCACUCAUGCCUACAGAGAGAAAGACUUACCAAACCUUAGAGUAAAUGUGAGCCAGAGUUUUAAAAAAUAUCUAGUUACCCAACAUUUUGGAGGCUUUUUAGCGUCCCUGGGGGAAGUUCCCUGCUUUAGGGGAUGUUUGGCGAAGACACAGCCACAGGAAGGGAAGCAGGUAAUGGGAACACCCAGCCAGCUCUGGGACCCGGGCUGCAACAUUCUUAAGGAUUCCAGCCGAGGCCAACAGGGAAGCUUUAUACUUAACCCUAAAACCAAAGUGUUCCCUUCCCAAUCUUUAAAGGGUUAAAGGCUCAAGAGGGAACGAUUUCACUGAGGGAGGAGGGUAGUAGAAUGGCUCCCUCCCCCUAAUAAAAAUUCUGGCAAGAGCAGACCAUAUGCGAGAGGGGAAAGGCGAGGCCGGAAAUCCAAUAUUGCUGUCUUGACAUUUUAUAUGAAAACCUGACAUAACUAGAUAUCACAAGGCAUCUGAGGCUUAUUUUUUUUCCCCUAAUGGGAGCAAACAAGAAAAUCUGGGUCUUAAAAUUCUUAAGGUCCAUGUGAACUUAAAAUCCCUAACCCUCUUCCUUUCCAAAGUGGGCAUCUCCUAGGAGUCACUGCAACCCAAAUCUGUUGCGAGGUUUCCUUUGGUAACUGCCUGCCUCAGAUACGCCUGAGCUAAUAUUAAGGCGCCCUCCGCAUCUAAACAGAUUCCCAACACUUCAAUCCCUCCAAGAUAAUGUUCUCCAGAGACACAGGGAAGGGCUCAGACUUUGAAGUGGGCUGGGAAAUCAGCUAGAGUUGCUUCAGCACUGAUCAAACUCUACGGAAAGGAUAGAGAGAACACAGCAAAAGAAAUGCUCUCUUACAUUUUCCCUGAUCAAGUCAGCCAACAGCUUUGGUUUGGAGGGUUAAUGGGAUGGAGUUUGAACAUCUUGUGGGGAGGGGCGUGGUUGAAGGGUAUUUAUAAAUUCUCAGCUGGCCUCUGGCCAGGGCUGCUUUUCUUGAUCUAGACAAACACAAAUUAUGAUGCCCAACAUGACUUGUAUAUACAAAUGGCCAUUUGAAAACAGUCACAGGCCUAAUUGAAGGAGACGGCAAGAAAUCAAAGGAAGGCCGGACAGAGGAACAGAACCCAGACCCACAGAGCAGCAUUCCAGCUGCCGGGAGAAGCGGAGCAGGGGCUUUGCCUUUGAGGGGAGGUGGAUGUUUACUUACACAGAUGAGCCCAGGUUCCCCUGGGUGCAAUUUUCUCAGGGAGCCACCCAGAGCAGACACGACUGGAAAGAAUGAACAGCAGCCCUGGCCAGCAGGCUCUCUUCCUAUAUUCUGCUGUGGUAGCCACUCAGCCCUGGUGUCAUGCGGGGGAGCCAGGGCCCAGGGACCGGACUCAAGCAGAAGGCUGUGAGCAAUGCCUCUGCUUCACCCACACAGGGGGUUUCCUGCAGGAACAGCCGCUUCCUGACAUCCCAACCCUCUGCAUCCCCACCCAGAGAAGGAUGAAGCUGGAAGACGUCACAUUUCUCCAGCCAGAAACCCUGUGGACCGCCAGGGAGACCAGCCCAUACAGGAGAGGGGACCUAGAGGGGUCUUGUCCCUGUGCAGGCCUUCUGAGCCCCAUCCACUGAGCUUCCCAGCACACCAGCCUGGAGCUGCCCCUUCCAUGUUCACCCAGAGCGCAGGUCAUGUGUGUUGGUGAACUUGGGAGGUCACAGGACAGAGGGCAAGAAAUCUGGGGAUGGAGACCGCUUGGCCCUUCCUAGGAGAGGUUUGACCCCC
rnacentral:lncRNA from 1 species